GAUAAAAUAUAAAAGUUUUUUCUGCCAUGUUUAGGUAAAGGGGUAAUCUGGAUGGUCUCCAGGACAGCCUGGACAGAAGGUUCCAGAGCGUGGACAUUAUGUGAGCCUUUCACGUGCUGGGAUCCUAAGCAACCAAGGAGGUUGAUGCCAUCAAUAUAGAAAAUCUCAAGACCCUGUCCUCAAAAUUCCUGCAGCAGCCUGAAAAUCCUGUAUGAAUGGCCAUCAUACAAGCAGCAUUUGCUGACCAGAGCAUUUCAGGAUAUGGACCAGCUCACAAUAAUGGGGAAACUGGCAUCCCAGUAUGAUGAAUGGGGACAGCUCUACCCUUGCCUGAGCCGGCUGGUGACCAUUGCCCUCACAGUGCCCAUCUCCAGUGUGAACUGUGAGAGAGACUUCUUAACUACGAAUAGGGUUAAGACAGACCUGACAAACAGGCUGAAUGAGGACCAUCUGGCAUCAUGCAUGCUACUAAGCAUCAAUGGGCC